GAUGAAUAACGUAGCGAAAUGCGAUAAGUAAUGUGAAUUGCAGAAUUCAGUGAAUCAUCGAAUCUUUGAACGCACAUUGCGCCCGCCAGCAUUCUGGCGGGCAUGCCUGUUCGAGCGUCAUUUCAACCCUCGCAGCCCAUCUGGGCAGCGGUGUUGGGGACCGGCACCACCGGCGAAGCCCUUAGGGACCCAGCCGGCGCCGCCCCCGAAAUACAGUGGCGGUCUCGCUGCAGCCUCCCUUGCGUAGUAGCACACCUCGCACCGGAGCGCAGCGCGGCCACGCCGUAAAACCCCCGACUUUCUGAGUUUGACCUCGAAUCAGGUAGGAAUACCCGCUGAACUUAAGCAUAUCAAUAAGCGGAGGA
rnacentral:misc_RNA from 1 species